rnacentral:rRNA from 1 species
GACGAACGCUGGCGGCGUGCUUAACACAUGCAAGUCGAACGAAAAGAGGGAAAGAGCUUGCUCUUUCCGGAAUUGAGUGGCAAACGGGUGAGUAACACGUAAACAACCUGCCUUCAGGAUGUGGACAACAGACGGAAACGACUGCUAAUACCGAAUAAGUUCCAAGGGCCGCAUGGCCCAUGGAAGAAAAGGUGGCCUCUACCUGUAAGCUAUCGCCUGAAGAGGGGUUUGCGUCUGAUUAGCUGGUUGGAGGGGUAACGGCCCACCAAGGCGACGAUCAGUAGCCGGUCUGAGAGGAUGAACGGCCACACUGGAACUGAGACACGGUCCAGACUCCUACGGGAGGCAGCAGUGGGGAAUCUUCCGCAAUGGGCGAAAGCCUGACGGAGCAACGCCGCGUGAGUGAUGACGGCCUUCGGGUUGUAAAACUCUGUGAUCCGGGACGAAAAGGCAGAGUGCGAAGAACAAACUGCAUUGACGGUACCGGAAAAGCAAGCCACGGCUAACUACGUG